UUAAAGUUAGGUCAGUGUUUGUUUGUGCAGGUUGUCUUUGGACCCCAGAGGGCUUGUCUAAGGAGAAAUUAGAAUUGCACAGCAGCUAAAGUCCCCCUGUAUAUAUGGCUGACUUUGGUAACUCAUUUCUUUGCAGUGUCAGAGGGACUGGAUGUAAAGCAGAGAUGAACAGAAGAGGCUGGAGGAGCACAGUCAGAAGAUGCAGAGCCCUCAGCCCAGCAGAUGACAGGCACCAGAGGGAAGGUGAGCCUGGUGAGCAAGGCAAUGCACCGACUUCUAACAUACAGUCCAACGUGACGGGGACCCUGCCUGAGACGUACGAAGCCUCACAGGGCUGAAGCCAACUCACAGUGAGGUGACGGACACGGUUUGGUCCUCUGGAGCUGUCCUUGUAGGUAAUCUCCGAGUAUUGAAAGGAUCAGCAAUGAAGGAUUGAGCUUUUUUGAUUGCA